rnacentral:rRNA from 1 species
AUUGAACGCUGGCGGCAGGCCUAACACAUGCAAGUCGAACGAGUGGCGGACGGGUGAGUAAUGUCUGGGAAACUGCCCGAUGGAGGGGGGUCACUACUGGAAACGGUAGCUAAUACCGCAUACCAUCUGAUGUGCCCAGAUGGGAUUAGCUUUUAGGUGGGGUAACGGCUCACCUAGGCGACGAUCCCUAGCUGAUGUGACAGGCUGUCAAGACACCCUGGAACUGAGACACGGUCCAGACUCUUACGGGAGGAAGCAGUGGGGAAUCUUGCACAAUGGGCGCAAGCCUGAUGCAGCCAUGCCGCGUGUAUGAAGAAGGCCUUAGGGUUGUAAAGUACUUUCAGCGAGGAGGCGUUACUCGCAGAAGAAGCAACGGCUAACUCCGUGCCAGCAGCCGCGGUAAUAC